AUCAAGCCGCGGGGGUGGAGCUGGGCUCCUGAGACUCGCCCAGGUCGGGCGGGAACCCCUGGAACCUGAACCGGGUAAUACCGGCGUAGGGAGCGGCAAGAGUCUCUAC
rnacentral:ncRNA from 2 species